rnacentral:rRNA from 2 species
CUAGUAACGGCGAGUGAAGCGGCAACAGCUCAAAUUUGAAAUCUGGCCCUCGGGUCCGAAUUGUAAUUUGUAGAGGAUGCUUUUGGUGAGGUACCUUCCGAGUUCCCUGGAACGGGACGCCAUAGAGGGUGAGAGCCCCGUCUGGUUGGAUACCGAUCCUCUGUAAAGCUCCUUCGACGAGUCGAGUAGUUUGGGAAUGCUGCUCUAAAUGGGAGGUAUAUGUCUUCUAAAGCUAAAUAUUGGCCAGAGACCGAUAGCGCACAAGUAGAGUGAUCGAAAGAUGAAAAGCACUUUGAAAAGAGAGUUAAAAAGUACGUGAAAUUGUUGAAAGGGAAGCGCUCAUGACCAGACUUGGGCUUGGUUGAUCAUCCAGGGUUCUCCCUGGUGCACUCUUCCAGCCCAGGCCAGCAUCAGUUCGCUGUGGGGGAUAAAGGCUUUGGGAAUGUGGCUCCUCCGGGAGUGUUAUAGCCCAUUGUGUAAUACCCUGUGGUGGACUGAGGUUCGCGCAUCUGCAAGGAU